CAUCGUCGUUGGUUCCUUGUGGUCCCGCAUGGCAGCAGCCUCCCUUAUACCACCGACAGGCAGAAGGGUACGGGUACCCCGGUUCUCAGCCCUAUGGAGGGCCAGGUGCCUCGCAAGGGGCUCCAUUUCAUGGAACCCCGUUUACCUCUAUGCCACAUGCUGGAGGGACUUUAGGAUCACAACAGUUCACCGGAGCGGGGCCGUCUUCGUAUCACCCUAUGCCGUCACCAGGAGGAUAUGAAGGAGUUUCUUCCUAUCAACCACCACCACCUCCUCCAACACAGGGGUGGUCUGAAGACAACGCCACGGCCUCCUUGGACAAGUUUAUACGGUUGUUUGCUACGCCUGCCCAGGACGAUGAUCCCAGCUUGCAUACACCUCUGGCUCAGUUACGCCGUCCAGCCAGAAACGUGGGGCCACCGGAACGUCAUAGCUACCCUACAGAUCACGUACAUGCACAACGUAAGAGAGGUCGGAAUGGUAAGGGUCGUUAGUUGUUUGCACUUGUUUCUCCGGCGGCAUUAUGGACUGUUUUGACUGUUCGGAUUAUGAUUGUUUAUGAUUGUGGUAGUUUAUUUGUCAUUUGUUUCUAUAGAUAUUAUUGAUGUG